CUGUGGCUUCAGCCGAUUGGCUGGGGAAGGGUCGGAGUCCUGUUACGCAGGUCGCCGGGCGUGUUUUGAUCCAGAAGUUUGAAAGGGUAAGCGGGAGGUUACUCAAGGGGAGGAGGCGUGGUCAAGGUGGAGGACAGAACAAGAUGGAGUUGCCGGCGUAGGUCCGCCCUUUCACUCUCUUUUAUACAGAUAGACAUUUUAUUUUAUUCCUGUUAACAGAUUCCUAAUCCCAGUUCCCUCCCCCUGUAAGCACCUAUUCUUUUGUUCAUAAUUUGUAUUCUUCUCAAAGGACUAUCCAUGACUUAUUUACAUCACUGUGUAUCUUUGAAUAAUAUAUAGCAUAUUUUGAUGUGUUUUAUGCUCGUAAAUUGCAUUAUGCAAUACAUCUUGUUAUGUGAUCUAUCUCAAGAAAAUGUUAUGAUUCUGAUUUUUACCGAACAUUUUACUUUUGAUGUCUAUCUCUGCUGAUAUAGGUAAAUCUUGUUCUUUCCACCGUUAUAUAAUAUUCCUUUGUGUGCAUAUCACAUAUUUUCCUUAAUUUCUUUUCCUUGACAGCAUUCUUAAAUCUUUGUUCUGCAAAGCAUGCUGAAGAUGGACAUCAUCACACAUUUAUUUCCAUAAGUGUGGGAGCACUUCUGUAAGAGAUAAUAGGCAUGAUUUCCAGCUGGACAGGGAGAGCUGGAUCUUUUCCCCUGGGGAUGCUUGGAUGUCUGGUUUUUGACUUCCCCAAGACAAGAGAGAACUCCAGACCGAGAAUCUACAACAGAUGGUGACCCCGACAUGAUCGGACGCAAGAGGACUAUAGGCUGAUGUGCAAUGAAAUCGAUGUGGCCAGUAGGAGGUGCGACACAAGGACUGUAGGGUGCUGCGGAAACACUAAAGAGCUCCAAGAAAAAUGCACUGGGUUACAGUCUCUUCCUGAAGAGAUUCUGGACCUCUGUGGAUUCCCUCUUGGUUGGUGAAGCCAUACCAUGGCAUGAUGGAGACACCCAGGAUAUCUUCCAAUGAACCAGAACUUCCAGAGAAUGGCUCUGAUUGAGCAGCCACCACCCCCCUUUUUCCAGAUGGAGGAAGCCUCUUCAUUGACUCCUCAUCCUGAAGCCACUCUACAAACGCAGGUCUUUUCCCCUGAUAUAACAUGGGGAAGCCUUAAACCACUGUCUAACCAGGCCAGCAUCCUCUUACAGCACAAUGAUAUUGCAUAUACCCCUAAUUCGCAUCUGAUGGCCAUGAUCUCCAUCAUUAAUUGGAAUUUGAUGUAUGUAACCCUGAUUCUUCUCCUUGCCCUCAUUUGUCCAGGUCAAGCUCAAUAGUCAUAUUGGGCUCAUAUCUUUAACCCACCUAUAUUUGAUAACUUAACAAUCCUAGCCUGGGAUAUUCCUAUUAGCAAUAAUGACAGAGUUAGUGGGAGGAGCGAAUCUUAACCCACCCUUCCAAACUGAACAAGAGAAUUGGCUUUAUAUGCCAAGAUCUCAAAGGUGGCUUACUUCAGCACUUCUUAUGUGCGUUACCAAACUUAGCAAUUUAUCUGCUGGUCUCAGACUAAACAUCAGCUGACUUUUUGUGUCUACAGACCAAAGCCUCUACAAGGCCAGUCAAUUUUACCUUUUUCUCGGCCACAAGCUUUGAUACACCUCAACAAAACAAAACAAAACAAAACAAACAACAAAACCCCCCAUAUAUCUCACACUCCUAACGUUACAGUUUACUCUAGUCUCAAAUAUUCAAACCACCCCUGGAAUAAUAUUCCUUGGACAACCUGUUAUGGAGAGACUGUGCAUAAUAUUCACUGGGACAACUGGGCUAUUAUUGACAAAGGUCCUGGAGGACAUCUUGAAACAAAAUAACAUAGACCAUAUCCUUUGACCAGUCUAGCAGGGAGAAUAUUUUUUUUGGAAAGACAGAGACUUGUCUGGCCCUAUAAUUUCUGCACAUAAAGGGAAAUUAAAGGACCUUGGCUUGUUAAUCUAUGGAAGGUAGGCCUUCCCUUCUUCACCGGUACUGUUAGCCAUGGUGAAAUUUAUGCAAAUCCACAUAUCAACAUAACUUGGGGGAACUGUGGGGAAUAAGCUUAGGAAAUCCCUGAGCUUGCACUGAUGGGUUAACAAUAAAGAAUUAGAAAGCAAUAGGAUGAACACACCCAAGUUUGGGUAAACAAGAUUAGGUAAAUAAGAUUAGGUAAACAGGGCAAAGGCCCCCAGUAUAGGACAAAGAUAUAGGAAUAGAAAAGCCUCAGGAUGAAAGCAUCAAAAAUUAGGUAAACAAGGUUAGGUAUUCAGGGUGGAAACACCCCCCAACUUAGUAAAAUAGCAGAAAACUGCUUUCACAGGAAGGAAACCAAAAUAGGUAAACAAGGCAACAGGACUUUUGACCAAAGCAAGGCGGAAGUUGCCCAGAGUGGAGCUAAUUAGCAAAAGAAAGAUGCCUUGUUGACCCUGGGUAGCAUGCUCUGUCUUUCUUUCCCCAUAGGCAAGUUUAGGUAAACAGAGGUGGGGCCUCAUGUCUGCUGUAAACAGUCAUCUGCCCUGCACCAGGACUUUGACACCAGGACUUUGUUUUGUAUUGACCCAAACCCCUAACCUCAUAUCUUCAAACCCUGCUUUCUCUCAAGCCCGUGAGUUAAAAGUCAUGGUUUCAUUGUCUCUUUGUGCAAGCCCAUCAAGCUUGUAAGCCUUGUGAUCCUAAUAACAACGGAGCAAGGACCCUUAUUCGGGGCUCUUGUCUCCUCCCAGACAUUAGCCUCUCUUGCAUUUUAAAUCCUGCAUCCACUCUCUUGCUGGACAAGAGAGAACUCCAGACCCAAAGUCUGUGACAUAAGAGCAGUCAAUGUAGAGGCUGUCAGCAGAGAAGGAAGUUUGUAUUUUCCUAAUUGGCAAAUUAUUAGAACUUUGCCUCUGAAGAGGUUCAUUAAUUCAGUAGAAGUAGAAGUAAGUCUUAAGGGUAGCUUGCAGUUAAAGAGGCAAAUUAAAGCCACUACUACUCUGCUCUUUUCUUUGAGGUCAAGAGAAAACUUCUUAGUAAAUGGAGAAGAAAAUUUUCUCUUUAAUAAAACAGGUAAUAGCUAUAAUUCCAAACCAGAACUUAUGAAGAAUAGCUGCUGAAUAUAGUAAUGUUUCAGACCUAAGAAGUCACAGUGCAGAGAGUACACUCAUAGCUCAUGUAACCCUGGAAGGAGUUCUUCUGAGGCAGGAGUCCAGUCCUAUGGGACACAAUAAAGAUUAUCUUAUCCGAGCAAUAAUUCUGGACAACAGGAUAGACUGAGGAGCAACCUCUAAACUCCAUUGCACUCUAAAUAUUGGAAGGAAACAUAAGAAGUUAUAAGAAGUCACAGCCAUUAUGGUAGUGUGGAGGAAAGUGCAACAAUUGGCUUUACACACAAUAGAAUUAGAUAAAUCAUCUCACAACACAAAAAUCUUUGUCUCCUGGAUCUGCACUCUAAACCAAACUGAUUUAUUUCUUCAACAGCAACUAAAAGGAUUGGAUCGCACUGAGCAGAUAAAUCCCCUACACCUCCUGGCUACCUUAGUCAUGCUUCUGAGUUACAGAACAUGUUAACUCUCUUGGAACAUAAUCAGUCAGUUAAAUAAAAUAUCAUGGGAAGCAUUUAAAGUAGACAAUAAAGUCUUACUGGAGUAUAAAGGAAGGCCACAGAGUUAAGAUGAAAACCUAGGUUAAAAUUUGGAAAAUUCAAUCAAAAGAGAAAAGAAGAAAAGUAACUAUAUAAGGGAAAAUACAGAGGUAGAUGAGAACUGGGGUGUCAAAUUCUCAGAGUCAGUUUAGCAUAACUAGCGUAAAACAACUGUGGAGAAAAAGGGCUAAAAUGAAAAUCCCAGGUAGACACAGACCAAAUUAUAAAAAGCCCUUUGUAAAUCAUGACAGGCAGUGAUAGUGGAAGUGGGAUGGAAGGAAUGAAUACACAGUAUUUGUUCAAAGUGAGGGCUUCAUGCUUUCUGUAAAGCACCGAUAGGAUGAUGAUUCUGUGAUUUUCAUAGAGUCACACGGAUAAAAGGAAAUAAUUCUUUCUGCAUUUUUCUUCCUGGUGAUGAUUUUUGUUCUGUAUUAGUGUCUUUUUAUUUAAAUUUUAGGGCCUCUUACUUAACUAUCUGUUGGUGUUAGAAAAACAUUAACCUGGGGUACCUAGAUGACUCAGUUCGUUAAGCAUCCAACUUUGGCUCAGGUGAUGAUCUCGUGGUUAGUGAGUUCGAGCCUGGCAUUGGACUAUUUGCUGUUAGCGCAGAACUUGCUUUGGAUCCCUGUCCCCUUCUCUCUCUGCCCCUCCCCCGCUUGUGUGUGCGCUC